rnacentral:rRNA from 1 species
UAGGGAAUCUUCCGCAAUGGGCGAAAGCCUGACGGAGCAACGCCGCGUGAGUGAUGAAGGUCUUCGGAUCGUAAAACUCUGUUAUUAGGGAAGAACAAAUGUGUAAGUAACUAUGCACGUCUUGACGGUACCUAAUCAGAAAGCCACGGCUAACUACGUGCCAGCAGCCGCGGUAAUACGUAGGUGGCAAGCGUUAUCCGGAAUUAUUGGGCGUAAAGCGCGCGUAGGCGGUUUUUUAAGUCUGAUGUGAAAGCCCACGGCUCAACCGUGGAGGGUCAUUGGAAACUGGAAAACUUGAGUGCUGAAAAGGAACGUGGAAUUCCAUGUGUAGCGGUGAAAUGCGCAGAGAUAUGGAGGAACACCAGUGGCGAAGGCGACUUUCUGGUCUGUAACUGACGCUGAUGUGCGAAAGCGUGGGGAUCAAACAGG